GGGAGCUCUGGCUGCAACAUAAGUCAGCCCACUGAUUGCCAAGUUUGGUUUGACAUAACUGGCAAGGCAGGGGUCUUCACAACUCCAUGUGCAUCCUCCCUGUACCUGUGCACAGGUACAGUAGGUGUACCUGUACACAGGUACAGUAGGUGUACCUGUACCACCUACUCGGUGGAAAAGGACAACCUUCCUGAUAUAGGAGGAUGAUCACAUGGUCAAAUGCACACCAGGAGCUGUACUCCCUUGUUAGAACGUCCAAACAAGAUCUCCAAUAAGAACAACCUCAUAAGCAUUAAAAGACUAUAUACAUGCAUAAAGCACAUAAAAUAACACCUGACCUAU
rnacentral:snRNA from 1 species